CUCAUUGUACUCUUCACCAAUCAACAUCUCUCUACAAUUCCCUCACCAAUCAGAGAACCCACUCAUCACACCUCUCCCCCAAUCAGAGACUGCCUACUCACUCUCUAUCUCUCUCUCUCUCUCUCUUUUUCUUCUCCUUCUCUCUCACCGAAACUCUCCCUUUCCCUGCAACCCUCUAGAAUGACGUCAAAACUUCACAUAUCGAGCAUAAAACCACCAUCAUCGUGAUCUUCGAAUCCUCACGAACCCGGCUGUACCAGCCGAUGGUGAAAUGACCAAGUUUUGAUUAGCCAACCCGUAAGGUUCGACUCGGUGAGUUUUCCUCCGACGAGUUUUAGGCCAAGUUACAAGGUUUUAGGAUGUGGGGAAGCUUCUACACAACUCCCUAGGGUCCUUAGACUAAGUUUGGAGUCGAGUUGACGUCAAAGCAAGCAAGUUCGAGGAGUUGAGUUUUAGGCCGAGAUUUUUGAGGCUUUUUCAAGCCAUUUCCCGUCCAUUUUUGGACUUCCAAAAGAAACUGAUGAAACCAGAUGACAGUGACCGGCAAAGGUCCACCAGAGAAGACGGCGAAUAUUCCGUCAAAGUUGACGGAAUAUUCUAACGGUGUCAGGUGAAAAUUAUCCCAAGGACGUACGAGGUCAAGCGAGGCUAGGAGGCUACGAUCCGACCACGUAUCAGUCUUAGAUAGCUAAACUCUCUGUGGCAUACGAGUAAACUCCGGCGGAUUCUGACAUAUCUAAAUAAAUGUAGGUUUUUUCCCGGUUGUGUAUUAAGCACUAUAAAUAGUUCCAAUUGCACUCUUUUGUUAGCUAUGCUCUGAAUAUUUGUAUUCUAUAGGUUCUACCCAUUACUGCGCACUCACUUUAUUAGUUUAAUUAAGUUCUAUGACAGUUUUAAUUA